GGACAAAACGAUGAAACAUUGUUGAGAUAAAGUGUUGAAAUUGCAUGACUGCCUCGGCGUAUGGGAACGAGCGAGUGAAUGAAUGAGCUGUGUAAUGGUGGAUCCUUUAUACGCAGGGCGCUUGCUGGGUUUCUCAGCGUAUAUACAGAGCUUCCGUCAGUCUGUUUGUGUGUCUGUGGCGUGACACCGCCCUGAACACAGAGCGAGAAAGAAGGAUUGAAGGUUGGUGUUUGAAGUGCGGCAUGAGAAAACGAGCUACCUGCACGCCAUCUGCGGCAGGAAGUCCCUGAUGUGGGCAGCAGCUGUGAAGCGUACUAGGCCACAAACUCCUGUUGCUCACCUGUAAUUACUCAGAAAUUGUGCACGAAACAAAAAACAGCCUGGUUUGAGCUGACAGGAAAGCUACAGCAACUCCGAUAAACGCUGUUUACAACCACGGUGAACAGAAAAGCAGCUCAUUAUGCAAACAUCAAGGCAGGAGGGCUACAGGAGCAGAAGACCAUGGCAGAUUCCAGUCAUCUCAAAUAAGAGCCAUUGCUUCUUAUCCAUACCUGAUCUUCACCUGAGCUUCACUAAUAGCUUACACUUGCUGUGAUUUCCUGCUAAAAUGUCUUCUCAAAGACCUCCUAUGGCCUUUGGGUUUUUAAUCCAGAAGCAAAACACACUGAUUAAUCACCUGGAGAGAGAGAGAAAGAGAGAGAGAGAGAGAGAAGGAGACGGAGUACUUUGAAAUAUGGCACGGCACUCGUGAUAAGAGACGACAGGUUUAAUGGAGACGGAGUGCGUGUGAGCUCAUCUGACAGCACGUGCGACUGCUAAGCACGCAAACAUUCACACAAGAGAGACAAUAACCAGGAUCUCAUGCCAUUCACAAAUAAUUCAUGGAUUACGAAAUCUUUUGACUAAUAUGAAAUAAAUAA